CCACAAAAGUUUCUACAAUAGGAUGCAAAGAUAUAUGUAAAGUCAGAGCUAAUCCCUGAAAAGAAAUUAAUGUACAGAUAAGAAUCUGGAACUCGAUUCUUUGAAGAAGGAAUUGCUAGUAAUCGUCUAUCAUCACGAGACGGUGAAACUAUCAUCUGUGAUGUACUAACUACUCGUCAAGCGCAAAAAUUAUAGGAAAUAUAAAGUUUAUACGUCUAUUUCUUAAAGAUUUGUGUUAAG
rnacentral:rRNA from 1 species